rnacentral:piRNA from 1 species
UGAGAAAAAAAAUGUUGCUGG